AUUGAACGCUGGCGGCAUGCCUAACACAUGCAAGUCGAACGGAGGUAGGGGCAACUCUACUUCAGUGGCGGACGGGUGAGGAAUGCGUCGGAAUCUACCCUAUGGUGGGGGAUAACACAGGGAAACUUGUGCUAAUACCGCAUAAUGUCGAGAGACCAAAGCAGGGGACCGCAAGGCCUUGCGCGAUAGGAUGAGCCGACGCCCGAUUAGCUUGUUGGUAGGGUAAUGGCCUACCAAGGCGACGAUCGGUAGCUGGUCUGAGAGGACGACCAGCCACACUGGGACUGAGACACGGCCCAGACUCCUACGGGAGGCAGCAGUGGGGAAUUUUGGACAAAUGGGGCGAAAGCCUGAUCCAGCAAUGCGCGUGCAGGAUGAAGGCCUUCGGGUUGUAGACUGCUUUGUACGGUACGAAAAGGGACUCUGGCUAAUACCUAGGGGUCACGAUGACGGUACCGUAAGAA
rnacentral:rRNA from 1 species